GCCGCGGUAGCUCAGUGGUAGAGCGCGUCAUUGGUAAUGACGAGGUCGAGAGUUCAAUUCUCUCCCGUGGCACCA
rnacentral:tRNA from 1 species